UACAGAGGGUGCGAGCGUUGUCCGGAAUCACUGGGCGUAAAGGGCGCGUAGGCGGUCGGGUAAGCGUGUGGUGAAAGCUCGGGGCUCAACCCCGCGUCGGCCAUGCGAACUGCUCGACUGGAGCAUGUCAGAGGCAGGCGGAAUUCCGGGUGUAGCGGUGGAAUGCGUAGAGAUCCGGAAGAACACCGGUGGCGAAGGCGGCCUGCUGGGACAUUGCUGACGCUGAGGCGCGACAGCGUGGGGAGCAAACAGG
rnacentral:rRNA from 1 species